CGCCUGGUGCACUUCUGGGUAGAUUUUACCUGAUCUUUCGCCCGUCACCUUCGGCGAAUAUUGUGAGAGCAAGCGGAGGGGAGAAAGGGUGAGCCAAACAAAAGGACACACCUCUUAAGCACACACCUCCAGCUCUCUCUGGACCCCGCCCCUGAAGGGAAGAAACCGGGCAGCAGGGGCGGUUGACGCUUCAAGCGCCAUCUUUUACGUGGGCGGAAGAAGUCGCCCUUAACUUCGUUUUCCUCUUGGGACGCCGUAGAAAUGUCUCAUAUGCUGCUUUGGAGCUGAGCUGAGGAUUUGUUGAUUACCUCCCAUUUACCAGGAUUACAGCAAAUUAGAUUUAACUGUGACUGGCAUGGGAACUAUCUGAUGUCGGACAUGGAUGAGGAAUAUUGCUAUAUAAACCACAGGAUAUAGAAGAGAAAUAGUGCUGGAACACUGAUGAUCGCAUCUCAGGACCAUGACUUGCUUUUCCCAAAUAGUGCUUCCGGAAAGAAUGAAAAUACUGCAUGGGGAGUGACAUAAAGAUCUCAUCCCAAAGCACUUUUUCCGCUAAUGAACUAUACGUUAUAAGUCAGAAGAUGUGCGCUUUUUUUUUCUUUUUUCUGAACACGAGAAAAAAGAAAAGCCAAGCAAAUGGUCCCUUUGAUGAGUAGCAGAGACCUAAUACCCUUCUGGUGUUGCUGUGCCAGGAUCCAAUUAUCUC